GAGAGGGAAUAAACUCUUACCUAAUUAGAUUCUUCAGUUUACAUAUUCUUUUUUUAAAGAAUAACAUUCGAACAUUUAUAAGUGCUGCAUUUCUUAAUACUGAAGUAUCCACCUUCCAGGAUGCCAGAGUCUAGCUGGGAAGCUUGGUGAGAGAUUCUGUGAAGAUCAGACAAGAAAAUGAUUCUCUUUAAUGCAAUAGAGAGUGAUGCCACAGGCUGUGCAUUCUAAUGUCUAGGUAAAUAAGCAGCAUAUCAUGUUUUUUUAUCAAGAUUAAAACUUGAAGCAGACACAGCAUGUGUCUCAGAACAGAAGAGAAAAUACCUGUUUACGUCUAAGACCUCGAGAAAAGCGCCUUUGGCAAAACAUUCUCCAGGAAGAUGUGUCAAGUUUGUCCCAUGGCUUUCUGUCUCCUGAUUGGAGAAGCAUUGUGCCUGAAUAAAGCAGAGAGGAAACUGAGGCACAGAAAGGUUAAGUAACUUGCCGACGUCCAUACAGCUAGGUCCAUCCUGCUCCCCGUCCAGAAGUUUCAUAGUAGCGGUGAAGCCUCCUACCCGAGCACUACACUCAGUCCUGUACCAAUGACCAGUGCCUGGCGGCAGCAAAACGGUGAUCGGCUUGGACGGGGCAGGACCUACAGUCACUGGCACUAAGAUUGCCUCAAUCCAGAGCUAAGGCCAUUUUGCAGUCCUCGAGAACCACCCCCACUGGCCCCACACCCCCGGGCUUGCUCAAAUGCCAACUCCUCUUGCCAGGCAGGGGGUGGGCAGGCCAUGUCAAGAUGUUAUAGCCAUGUAAAGUGCUAUCACCGUGCAGGUUAGUUUCCUUAAAUUUUGUCUCUGGGUUCCUCAGCCUCUGGUCAGCCCUGCCUUUGCUGUGGAUCUUCCUUCUCCCUUUGUCACAGUGAUGUGUUUCUCUAAAUCCAUUCUUUCUCUGUGUGCCAGCCCCUAGGACACUGAUGCAUUGUCUGGUGAGGUCUGAGCCCAUCUGGAGCUAAGGAUUGUUGGGGCAGGUGCCUCUGACGGACGGGCACUGCAAAGAGCUUCUUGGAGCCUCGGAUAUCUUUAAAAAUGGGACUGCCCCCAGAAGGAAUCAGACACGUUAAUAAACCACAGCCACAGUUGUUAACUCCUGACAGGGCUUCACAAUGAGAAGAGGAAAUGGUCAGGUUUAAGGACUGGCCCUGGGAAGUCCUCUGGAUCAAAUUCCCUUGUGGCUUUGGCUUUGCCUAUAAAAUUCCCUAAAGCACAGCUGAGCAGAGAUUCAUCCAGGCCCACUGACUCAGAGGAGUUGAGUGAAUUGGUUCAUCUUGAAGCACCGUGCUUAUAUCGCUCAGUGAAUCUAAAGCAAAUUUGUCCGCUGGACACUUUUAAACCUGUUAGCAACUGGGUGAGCUUUGUGUCAAGAAUGGUGGCUGUUCUGUGUUCAGCAGGGAUCCUGUUUAAGGAGGGAGAUAGCCGAGGGCCACUGGUAUAUAGGAUGGCAGCCUGCCUAGAGAGACUAUCAGGGUUCUCCUGACAAAUGAGGCAGCGCCUGUGCUAAAUACACCAACAAGCCUGGCUUCUGUCGGGGCUGGCCGGCAAACAAGGACAAAGGUAGGAGAAAAGUGCCUUUACAGGUACCAUAAUCCUGACUUUCUCUGGGUAUGUGCCUUCUGGAGCUGCUGAGAUAAGAGUGGAUCACAGAAGGAAUAGUCUAGCCUAGUGGUCUUUGGACUCAGAAAAGCUUGAGUUCAAAUGGCUGCUGAGCCAUAUACUUACACCAUGACCCUAAUAAGUUCCUUCAGGUAUCAGUCUCCUUAUCAAUGAAAUGGGGAUAAAAAUGGUACCUCUUAGAAUUGUUUUAAAGAUGCAAUGUUUUGUACAGUGCUUGUGUAUAGUAGCUACUAUUCUUAGUAAUUCAUUGAAGAGUAAUCUUUCUAAAGUGUUUUUUCACCCACAUAGAGAAAGAGCUUGGAAGUCAAGCCUCGUGGCACAGAAGAGCGCAGCUUGACAUCACUUCAGUGAACGUUUAAGUAGCUAAUGUGGAAACUGGUUACUGCCAAGACACUGAAGUCAAUGACAAUAUCCCUGUUGUCUUCCCAAAUGUACUAUAAACUUCUUGACAAGGCACGCAUGCACGGAGAACACGGGAGCGUUCCAAGGCAGCACACAAGCGAGCUGGCAGUUGGGUGGACACGGAAAUACCGAAACUCCUCAGAGCUACCCCCAACCAAGCAGAGACAUUCAUAGGGAGUGCCGUCAGCCUCUGCCCCUCCAACCACGCCAGAGUGCGCUCGGUCACAUGGCUGGGAAACCACAAAAGCAUCUCAUGUGAUAACAUGCCCAACUCUGCUUCCCUGCAAGAAAGUAGCAGAAGGAACAAAGAGGAUUCGGAGACAGAACACCAAUGACUUGCUAGCUCAGAGCCCCCUCCCUCGAUGUUUUCUGCACUGCCUUCCAUCUCUCCAUUUUCAGUGCCGUUCACAGGCGGAAGUCUGACUUGUCUCGCUAACAGCUGCCCUUGACCGAGCAGCCCGUUGCGGCUUCCGCAGCCCCUGUCCCUGCCCCAGCGUGGUAGCGGUCGUCUCUGCUCCAGCACCCGCUUCCUUCAACACAUGCCCUUUGCUUUAAUGGCUUUUUCAAAUUCCACGUGCAGGGUUUGACCAUGUCUACUCUUUUGAGAAACAUUUGUUUUUUCUUUUUGGCUUCUGCAACUGAACUCCUCUGUCAGCUCCUUUUAAGUGUCUGUCUGUGUUUUCCACCCUUUGUUCUUCUCUGGCGAUGCCA